rnacentral:rRNA from 1 species
ACGCUCGACACCUACGGGAGGGCAGCAGUGGGGAAUAUUGCACAAUGGGGGAAACCCUGAUGCAGCGACGCCGCGUGAGUGAAGAAGUAUUUCGGUAUGUAAAGCUCUAUCAGCAGGGAANAAAAUGACGGUACCUGACUAAGAAGCCCCGGCUAACUACGUGCCAACAGCCGCGGUAAUCUGAGCGGGCUGGCAAGGC